CACGUCCCAAACCUGUGGCGGGAGUUGGAGAUUCUGCGGCGAAUACGCCAGGAUCAUCAUGCCUAGGGUUCAUAACAUAAAAAAGUCUCUUACACCUCACAUUUCUUGUGUGACAAAUGAAUCUGAUAAACUGCUGGAUUUUUUGCCUGACAGACUAAGAGCAAAGCUACUUCCAUUCCAGAAAGAUGGCAUCAUUUUUGCCCUCAAAAGAAAUGGCAGGUGUAUGGUGGCUGAUGAAAUGGGUCUAGGAAAGACAAUCCAGGCAAUUGGAAUUACUUACUUCUAUAAAGAGGAAUGGCCUCUGUUAAUAGUAGUCCCUUCGUCUCUGAGGUACCCUUGGACAGAAGAAAUUGAAAAAUGGAUCCCAGAGCUAAGUCCAGAAGAAAUCAAUGUUAUUCAGAAUAAAGCUGAUGUUAGGUAAGAACAACUGUUUAAUAUUUAAGGAGAAAAGUCUUCCUUGUGUGUACCUGGUAUAUAUUCAUGUUUUAGAAUGCAAUAUCACCUAUAGAUAAUAAUUUAGAAGUGGAGUAAGUAGUAUGGAGAAUU
rnacentral:sRNA from 1 species